rnacentral:rRNA from 1 species
AGUAAUGUAUGGGGAUCUGCCCGAUAGAGGGGGAUAACUACUGGAAACGGUGGCUAAUACCGCAUAAUGUCUACGGACCAAAGCAGGGGCUCUUCGGACCUUGCACUAUCGGAUGAACCCAUAUGGGAUUAGCUAGUAGGUGGGGUAAAGGUUCACCUAGGCGACGAUCUCUAGCUGGUCUGAGAGGAUGAUCAGCCACACUGGGACUGAGACACGGCCCAG